CCCCUCUCAGGGUCACACUUGGAGAGUUUCCAGUGCUCUACCAGUCUUGGCAACGGGAGGGAGAAUAAAGCAGGGGCCUACCCAUUCCAUUCCUAGUUUGGCCAGUGGCUAGUGAAUGGAAGGCAAUCUCCUGCAAGU